GUGUCAGCAGCCGCGGUAAUACGUAGGGUCCUAGCGUUGUCCGGAAUCAUUGGGCGUAAAGAGCGUGUAGGCGGCUUGAUAGGUCCCGUGUUAAAGCCUGCGGCUCAACCGCAGAAUCGCACGGGAAACCAUCUGGCUCGAGUCCGGAAGAGGAGAGCGGAAUUCCUGGUGUAGCGGUGAAAUGCGCAGAUAUCAGGAAGAACACCCGUGGCGAAGGCGGCUCUCUGGGACGGUACUGACGCUGAGACGCGAAAGCGUGGGGAGCGAACAGGAUUAGAUACCCGGGUAGUCC
rnacentral:rRNA from 1 species